GAGUGCGUGAAACACUGGAGUCGAAACGGAUAGAGUCGACGUAACGAGGCAACAUUCACCGAUCCUUCGGGCUCGGUGCACUUGUUGUCUGUAUGCGCUGAGUGCGUUGAUUGUGCGCGUCGAACCGGUACGUGUUGCCCACUUAUGUGGUGUCUUGCGUGCUGGGGAGACGUGUCGCGACUAGCGUGAUUCGGUGUGCAAGUCGAUCACCUAUCCGACCCGUCUUGAAACACGGACCAAGGAGUCUUGCGUAUGCGCGAGUCAUUGGGUGGAAAACCUAAAGGCGCAAUGAAAGUAAAGACCGGCUUUCGAUCGGUUGAUAUGGGAUCCGUGCAUUCGUGUGCGUCGCACCAUAGCCCCGUAUCGAUGGCUUGCCAUGGGGCGGAGGU
rnacentral:rRNA from 1 species